UGAAUCUGGCUCAGGGCGAACGCCUGGCGGCGUGCUUAACACAUGCAAGUUCGAACGAUGAAGCCUAGCUUUGCUAGGUGGAUUAGUCGGCGAACGGGUGAGUAAUACGUUGAGUCGACCUACCUUUGACUCUGGGAUAAGCCUGGGAAACUGGGUCUAAUACCGGAUACGACCAAUCUCCGCAUGGGGUGUUGGUGGAAAGCGUUAUGGAGUGGUUUUAGAUGGGCUCACGGCCUAUCAGCUUGUUGGUGAGGUAAUGGCUUACCAAGGCGACGACGGGUAGCCGGCCUGAGAGGGUGACCGGCCACACUGGGACUGAGACACGGCCCAGACUCCUACGGGAGGCAGCAGUGGGGAAUAUUGCACAAUGGGCGCAAGCCUGAUGCAGCGACGCCGCGUGAGGGAUGACGGCCUUCGGGUUGUAAACCUCUGUUAGCAUCGAAGAAGCGAAAGUGACGGUAGGUGCAGAGAAAGCGCCGGCUAACUACGUGCCAGCAGCCGCGGUAAUACGUAGGGCGCGAGCGUUGUCCGGAAUUAUUGGGCGUAAAGAGCUUGUAGGCGGUUGGUCGCGUCUGCUGUGAAAGGCUGGGGCUUAACCCUGGUUUUGCAGUGGGUACGGGCUAACUAGAGUGCAGUAGGGGAGACUGGAAUUCCUGGUGUAGCGGUGGAAUGCGCAGAUAUCAGGAGGAACACCGAUGGCGAAGGCAGGUCUCUGGGCUGUAACUGACGCUGAGAAGCGAAAGCAUGGGGAGCGAACAGGAUUAGAUACCCUGGUAGUCCAUGCCGUAAACGUUGGGCACUAGGUGUGGGGGACAUUCCACGUUUUCCGCGCCGUAGCUAACGCAUUAAGUGCCCCGCCUGGGGAGUACGGCCGCAAGGCUAAAACUCAAAGAAAUUGACGGGGGCCCGCACAAGCGGCGGAGCAUGCGGAUUAAUUCGAUGCAACGCGAAGAACCUUACCAAGGCUUGACAUAUACUGGACUGCGUCAGAGAUGGCGUUUCCCUUCGGGGCUGGUAUACAGGUGGUGCAUGGUUGUCGUCAGCUCGUGUCGUGAGAUGUUGGGUUAAGUCCCGCAACGAGCGCAACCCUCGUUCUAUGUUGCCAGCACGUGAUGGUGGGGACUCAUAGGAGACUGCCGGGGUCAACUCGGAGGAAGGUGGGGAUGACGUCAAAUCAUCAUGCCCCUUAUGUCUUGGGCUUCACGCAUGCUACAAUGGCCGGUACAGAGGGUUGCGAUACUGUGAGGUGGAGCUAAUCCCUAAAAGCCGGUCUCAGUUCGGAUUGGGGUCUGCAAACUCGACCCCUUGAAGUCGGAGUCGCUAGUAAUCGCUGAUUCUGCUAACGCUGCGGUAAUUACGUUUCCCGGGCCCUUGUUCACC
rnacentral:rRNA from 1 species